ACAGUGAGCCCGUAUAUACGAAACAUCAUAUUUACCAUAAAUGUGUUUGCAUUAAUUAAAGUACAAAUAAAUCUGAAGUUACUAUGUGCUGACUAUUUUGUUCUGAUACCAGAUCGAAUUGACGCAACUUAACAAUAUUAAUCUGCUAGUAUGGCAAAAUACGUGGAAGGCGCAUAAUGAACUUCAUAUUUUAUCCUGCACAGUAACAAUGAUGCUGCACACUCCAGCAACUCGUUCUGAAUUUCGCGGCUCAUAAGCGUGGCAUUGCGAGCCCGAGCCACCAGACAGACACCCUACCUGCCCAGGAUAUUGAAGGAACCUUGAGACAGAUCAUUCAGAUGAACAGUCGGGAGAGGAGAGAACUACAGAGCACAAAGACAAGAAAGGAAAGGGGAGAUAUGUAGUCAGUUGUACAACUGAAUGAAUUCAACUGAAAUGUGUCUUCCGCAUUUAA